ACAAAGGAAACACGCCUUCUAAGGGCAAAAGCUGCCUGUUUCCACGCCCUCGCAUUCAAACUGAAAACUGCGCGCCAAGGUUUUGCAGCAGAACAGAUUUGGAAUGAAAAAGAGAAAUGCCUCCCAGAAAGCGUAGGAAGUGUACUUCGGUCACUGUGAAAAAUCAUGCUGAAAAAGCUCAUGCUACAUCAGCAACCCCUGCUGCUUGUUGAGAAAGCGACACUGCUUCUCCACUGCCGCAGGCAUGCCCUCCUUCCUCCAGCACAGUCGCUGUGUCACUUCAGCAUCCACCUGUAUCACUGGCUUUGCCUCGCCCAGCUGUAAUACCCGAAAGCAUGGAGACACCACAAGUAUUUGCUGAAGUUGAGAGCCUUCUCCCUCUUUCUUUCAACAAGAGAAAGAAAAGGAGAAGCCUGCGGUUUAGGGGUGGGCAUCGGCAAGCUGGCAGUGAGGAUGAUUCCUUUUGACAGGAUCGCAGUUUUGGAGGGCUCGAUCACAACCAAAGAUGUUGCCAUUGGAAAGCUAGUUUUACACUAGUGAUGAAAAAUGCAGGUGUAAUGUAACCAAAACGUUAAAUUACAUCAAAUCUGUAACAAAAAAUACACUAUGAAUAUGAAAUAUAGAAAGUAAAAUCAGACCAAAAUAUUUCCCAUGUACAAAACAAAGUUAGAAAGAGUGGUCAACCACAGAA